rnacentral:rRNA from 1 species
UACGAAGGGGGCUAGCGUUGCUCGGAAUCACUGGGCGUAAAGCGCACGUAGGCGGCUUUCUAAGUCAGGGGUGAAAUCCUGGAGCUCAACUCCAGAACUGCCUUUGAUACUGGAGAGCUUGAGUCCGGAAGAGGUGAGUGGAACUCCGAGUGUAGAGGUGAAAUUCGUAGAUAUCAAGCGGAACACCGGUGGCGAAGGCGGCCUUCUGGACAAUGACUGACGCUAAAACACGAAAGCGUGGGGAGCAAACAGG